rnacentral:rRNA from 1 species
ACUCCUACGGGAGGCAGCAGUGGGGAAUAUUGCACAAUGGGCGCAAGCCUGAUGCAGCAACGCCGCGUGAGGGACGACGGCCUUCGGGUUGUAAACCUCUUUUAGUAGGGAAGAAGCGAAAGUGACGGUACCUGCAGAAAAAGCACCGGCUAACUACGUGCCAGCAGCCGCGGUAAUACGUAGGGUGCAAGCGUUAUCCGGAAUUAUUGGGCGUAAAGAGCCCGUAGGCGGUUUGUCGCGUCUGCUGUGAAAACUGGAGGCUCAACCUCCAGCCUGCAGUGGGUACGGGCAGACUAGAGUGCGGUAGGGGAGAUUGGAAUUCCUGGUGUAGCGGUGGAAUGCGCAGAUAUCAGGAGGAACACCGAUGGCGAAGGCAGAUCUCUGGGCCGUAACUGACGCUGAGGAGCGAAAGCAUGGGGAGCGAACAGGAUUAGAUACCCUGGUAGUCCAUGCCGUAAACGUUGGGAACUAGAUGUAGGGACCAUUCCACGGUUUCUGUGUCGCAGCUAACGCAUUAAGUUCCCCGCCUGGGGAGUACGGCCGCAAGGCUAAAACUCAAAGGAAUUGACGGGGGCCCGCACAAGCGGCGGAGCAUGCGGAUUAAUUCGAUGCAACGCGAAGAACCUUACCAAGGCUUGACAUAUACCGGAAAAGUUCAGAAAUGUUCUCCCCGCAAGGUCGGUAUACAGGUGGUGCAUGGUUGUCGUCAGCUCGUGUCGUGAGAUGUUGGGUUAAGUCCCGCAACGAGCGCAACCCUCGUUCUAUGUUGCCAGCACGUAAUGGUGGGAACUCAUAGGAGACUGCCGGGGUCAACUCGGA